GACCAAAUAGCUCAGUCAGUAGAGCAUAAGGCUCUUAAUCUCAGGGUUGUGGGUUCGAGCCCCAAGUUGGGCA